rnacentral:tRNA from 1 species
GGUCCGGUAGCUUAGUGGUCUAAAGCAGUCGACUCAUAACCGAACGAGCGCAGGUUCGAAUCCUGCCCGGACUA